AUUGAACGCUGGCGGCAUGCCUUACACAUGCAAGUCGAACGGCAGCACGGGAGCAAUCCUGGUGGCGAGUGGCGAACGGGUGAGUAAUAUAUCGGAACGUGCCCAGUCGUGGGGAUAACGUAGCGAAAGCUACGCUAAUACCGCAUACGAUCUAUGGAUGAAAGCGGGGGAUCGCAAGACCUCGCGCGAUUGGAGCGGCCGAUAUCGGAUUAGGUAGUUGGUGAGGUAAAGGCUCACCAAGCCGACGAUCUGUAGCUGGUCUGAGAGGACGACCAGCCACACUGGGACUGAGACACGGCCCAGACUCCUACGGGAGGCAGCAGUGGGAAUUUUGGACAAUGGGCGCAAGCCUGAUCCAGCAAUGCCGCGUGCAGGAUGAAGGCCUU
rnacentral:rRNA from 1 species